GUUUGGGAGAAAAUCCCUUCUGGAUGGGUACCUGCACAAAUAAGCAUCUCUACAUAUUCCAAAUGCCAACACAACCAAGGGAUGGUCAGUUCCCGAUUUACCUAGAAUCCCUGGGUCUGACCAUCAUAGAUACAUCAUCAUACAUAUAUAUGCCUUGUUUCCCCAAUGUGCCGGGAUCAUAUGUGCAAGGUUAACGUCUUGAACCAAGUAACCGAGUUUUGGUUGGUGCUGGUUGUACAGUAGCGUGAGGCCCAGCCUUGUGAGGGCUGUGACUGACCCGAGAUUGCCAGUCUGUCGUAAAUUUUUUGGCUCAUGAGUUUAUGAGUGAGGCUAGCAUGGCCUGGGUGUCACCUGAGUUGGUGUUGCUGGGCCUUCCCCUACUUCCGUGUUGUCCGUUGAUGUAUGGAGGAGUUUGAAUAACUCUGCUUUCCUUGCUGUGGCAGGGUAGUGGAUUUGUCGCCUCCAUAGGUCGGAGCCACAUCUCCUCUGCUUGAAGGUGUAUCACUUCUAGCCGGGGUGCCAGGAAGAGGUGAUUCUUAAAUAACAAUAAAGAUUGCAAUUAUUAUUUGUACCAGGGGUCUUGUACUGGCUUGCUAGCUAAGCCGUAAGGCGAAACGAUUAGGCUUGGUGUUUUUUGGUGACUGGUGAGGC